rnacentral:tRNA from 1 species
GAGGUUGGUGGUCACCGGUGAGGCGGUUGGAUUUCAAAUCCGGUGGGGGCCGCCAGCGGUCCCGGGCAGGUUCGACUCCUGUGAUAUUCC